rnacentral:rRNA from 1 species
UACGGAGGGUGCAAGCGUUAUCCGGAUUCACUGGGUUUAAAGGGUGCGUAGGUGGGCAGUUAAGUCAGUGGUGAAAUCUCCGGGCUCAACCCGGAAACUGCCAUUGAUACUAUCUGUCUUGAAUAUCGUGGAGGUAAGCGGAAUAUGUCAUGUAGCGGUGAAAUGCUUAGAUAUGACAUAGAACACCAAUUGCGAAGGCAGCUGGCUACACAAAUAUUGACACUCAGGCACGAAAGCGUGGGGAUCAAACAGG